rnacentral:rRNA from 1 species
AUGCUAUCACUGGAGAAGCACUCGAUUGGUUUCCUUAGUCACGCAUUGGGACCGCGCAAUCACAUGCUCUCUACUUAUGAAAAAGAGGGGUCGGCAAUCCUCUUGGCGGUCGAGCACUCGCAUGCAUACCUCUAGAAUGACGAGUUCAUAGUGCACACUGACCAACACAGUCUAAUUCAUCUGGAAGACCCACGGCUUAUGACCCCCUGGCAACAGAAAAUCAUGCCUAAUAUGCUUGGACUGCGUUACCGCACCAUCUACAAAAAAGGAGUUGAUACCUGUGCCGCGGAUGCGUUAUCGUGCCAGCCACCAGUCACUCAAGGGGACCUCGCUGCCAUCACAUCAGUAGUGUCGGCUUGGUUGGAGGAAGUGCAAAAAGGCCAUGCGGAGGACCCUACAACACAACGCUUGCUCGCACGACUGGCCACAACUCCGGAAGCGCUAGAUGGCUUUUAG